UGCACAUUAAUGCCAGUAACAUAUGAAUAAUUCUAUGCUGUGAGGGUGUUUGGUACAGCGUAAGAAAUGUUGUGGCAAAUACUGCAGCACCCAGUUAGCCCUGCAAUAGAACAAGUCAGUCACUUAUCGUAACAUCUUCCACAAAUAGACAAGGGCAUUGUUGUUUUGAACAGUGCAGCGUUUUCAAAUCUUUGCCAAUGGCCAGUUCACGCAGGAAACACUUUGCCCAACGCUGUAUGUAACGAAGGUAUAGCGCUUCGCACUAAAAAAUACGAGCAAAAAAAUGAAAGUUAAGAUAAACGUUGAUAACACAUAACUUGCAUUUAUUCUCAUAAAACAUUCCUUCUUGUCGUACAGAUUAAAAAAGAAAAGUCUUUCAGCGUCAGUCUAGUAGAGAAA